rnacentral:rRNA from 1 species
GGACAAUGGGCGCAAGCCUGAUCCAGCCAUGCCGCGUGAGUGAAGAAGGCCUUCGGGUUGUAAAGCUCUUUCGGCCGGGACGAAAUCGCAUGCGUGAAUAUCGUGUGUGGAUGACGGUACCGGAAUAAGAAGCACCGGCUAACUACGUGCCAGCAGCCGCGGUAAUACGUAGGGUGCGAGCGUUAAUCGGAAUUACUGGGCGUAAAGCGUGCGCAGGCGGUUUCGUAAGCCAGAUGUGAAAUCCCCGGGCUUAACCUGGGAACUGCAUUUGGGACUGCGAGGCUAGAGUACGGCAGAGGGAGGUGGAAUUCCACGUGUAGCAGUGAAAUGCGUAGAUAUGUGGAGGAACACCGAUGGCGAAGGCAGCCUCCUGGGCUAGUACUGACGCUCAUGCACGAAAGCGUGGGGAGCAAACAGGAUUAGAUACCCUGGUAGUCCACGCCCUAAACGAUGACAACUAGUUGUUGGGGAUUUAACAUCCUUAGUAACGUAGCUAACGCGUGAAGUUGUCCGCCUGGGGAGUAC